GGGACAUGGUGGACCGGAGACGUCAAUGCUAAAAUCUUGUCACUUAACUAUGGAGACUUCAAGGCUGAGAUCAAAUCCGUUGAUGCUCAAGAAUCCCUAAAUGGUGGAGUCAGCGUUCUGGUAACUGGAUACAUGACUGGAAUGGAUAAUAUUUAUCCGUUUAGUUUAGUGCAACGGUGAAUGCAGGCGGUGAACGGUUAAAAAGCCAGAAGCCGAGGUUACCGAAAUUCAAAAUGUGCUGAUUUGGCAAAUUUGGUAAACGUGGCGGCUCUCAAGGUGGCAAUGGACGGUGCAAAAUCGCUGUAAAGAACAGAGUUUACUGUUGUCUCUUGCUUGCUUCAGUCUCUAUAAGUACUUCAUGAAGCUCAACACUCUACAAACCCUCAACUACACUCAACUGACUUACUGCUUUUACAUCUACUGUUGUCUGAAAGAGAGCAUGCUUGCUUCAGUCUCUACAAAUACUUCAUCAAGUUCAACACUCUACAAACACUCAACU